rnacentral:lncRNA from 1 species
UUUUUUUUUUUCUUUUAAAAAAAUCCUUUGGUAACUAUCAGAGAAAGGACACUUCUUUUAACCCCCCCAAGCAGAAUGGGUUGUUACAGCCAAUUGUUUUCAGACACCGAGGUCUUCUUUUAAAUCCACCUCUCUAAGAAAAGUCACCCUUAGCGAUGUCAAGAUGCAUUAACCCUUCUGAGGGAUGGAGGGGUGUCAGGGAGAGAAUUGGGGUGGAGAACGUUGGGUUAGGAUUGGUCCAGAGGAUAGACAUGCCUUUAUCUGGAAGACAGAGGAAAGCUCUGAAAUAUGAAGUGGAGAGACAAGAUGGAGAUGAGUUUUUUUUUUCCUGUGGACUGAAGAAAUUGUGAAGUACUUAGGUCCAGACAUAUAUCAGCUGCUAAAAUAAUGCCUGGUAACAAAUUGCCCCUAAAGUCAGUGUCGCAUUGGCAGGGAUCAGAUUAUUUAGGAUGGGCCUAGCAGGACUCAGCUGGGCUCACUCAUGGCUUUGUGGUUUGGCUGGGCUUGCUCAUGUGUCUCUAGGUUGAUUCUGUUCCACACGCUCCUCACCCUCUUUUGGGGCUAGCGGGUUAGCCUGGGCCUGUCUAUUGCAUGGCUAGAGAAGAAGGGAAGAGAAGUAAUCCCAAUCACUCAAGUAUUUUUUUGGAAUCUGCUUGAAUCAUACUCACCAUCACGUUUUCCAAAAUGAGGCCAUUGUGGAUGUCCUCUAAGGUUCUAUGGCAUGGAUAUGGGGCUGGGAAGAACUGGGACCAUCCUGCUACUCUACCAAAAUAGUGUUUACUCUUACCUAUCCUCUGCCUCUUCUUCAUAAAUCUCAGGAAUUUUGACACUUAAGAAAUUUAGCAAUAUAACUACAGUGAUACCAAUUCUUCGAGUUUGAGAAUUCCCAGAAUAAUCUUCUAGCAAAGAAUGUUAUUUUUAAAGGGGGUCUUAGUGUCCAUUGAUUUCCUUUGGUUUAUGUUACAGAUGGAGAGACUAAAGACAAGAGAUACGGUUUGUGGAAAAGCUGGUAUUAGAAUGUGAAUUCCAUUCAAUUAAACUUUCCACUUUAUUUUGGACUCUGUGCAGCUCUGUAAUGGCAGAAAGAAUUAAGACCCCAUUUUACAGAUUGUUAACUAGGAGAUGAAGUUACACCCCAGUGGCCGGAGAGCGGUUCAGGGCCUCUCCAAUUUAUUUGACCAGUGCUACAUCCCAUGCUCCUUCUCUCACUGUAGGGCAGGCAGUUAAUUUUGAAGGAGAAAGAAGUGAACGUUCAUUUGGAAGCCACAUUGCUGUGAAACCGAGGUGUGAUACAGUACUUACAAAUUAGAUAUUAGCUCGUAAUGUGAUCUGGCUGUGAGGAAAGCUGACCCUGCUGGGGCCGGCCUGUGCUAGGAGUCAAGCUGCAGGAAGGGGAAUAAUCCCCCUUUAUAUGGCACUGGUGAGACUGCACCUGGAAAACAGGCCCUCGCUCCAAGCCUCGGUACCCAGGCCAUGUGGACGGGGAGAAGGGAACUGUAUGAUUCAUUUGUAGCUGGAGGAAAUGACCUAGGGGGGAGAGAUUAAAGAGCUUAAUAGGCUUGCCUUCCUCCCCCCAACUAGGGACCCCUGACAGCUGAGAGGCCCGUUGGCUGGUUCGGUGUAUGGAGGCCUUUGGGUCCUUGUGGUAUAAGGCCCUACAACAUCUGGCCCUAACCUUCUGGUCCCAUCUCAUGACCCCCCCCCCCUUUUGUUUCUUUCACGUGUCUGAAUUCUUAGCUUCUUAGAUUUUCCAAAAUCAUUCCUACCUUUGGGCUUUUGCACCUUUUUCCUAGCAGCUGCCACCUGGCCUCACUUUUAAAGAUCAGCCACAUGAGCAUUCCCCAGACUCUCUGGGAGGGUGAGGGCCUCCAGUUACCUGCUCUCCUAACACCUGCAUAUCUCCUUGCCCCUCUUAUCUCAUCUUGAGUGGCUUGCUCAGGGUGCUUCUUAGGGCACCAGAAGCUGUUUCUUAGGGUACCAGGAGCUCUUUUGUCCACUGUAGUAUUAUAUUCCAGGCACCCUGAGAGGGGUCCACGAAUAUCUGCCAAGGGGAUUAAGAGCGAUCAGCAGCUGGGUGGUGACAGUGCCUUGGGACUGUGGGCCUUUGCUUGUGCUGAGCCACUGCCCUUGGAUGCACUGCUUCUUUAUUAGACCUGUUUAAAGGCAGUAAGAAGAGCGCUGGGCUAAGAUGCAAGAAUAUGUGAUUCCAGUCAUGUGUCUGGGGGAAAUCAUUGAUCCCGUAUAAGUCUUGAUAAAAUAGACAGUAAUGCUUUUCCUGCAGGGAUGUGAGGAUGCAAUGCAAAAUCCCCUUGCAUUUAAAAAAAUUUUUAAUUUUUUUCAUUUUUCAAGUUUCAUGGACGUAUAGUUGGUUUACAAGGUAGUGAUAAAUUCUGCUGUACACAAAGCGAUUCAGUUAUACCUGUACACACAUCCAUUCUCCUUCAGUUCUUUUCCCACUUAGAUGAUUAGAGACUAUUGAGUAGAGUUUUCUGUGCUGUAUAGCAGGUCCCUGUUGGCCAAUUAUUCCAUAUACCUUGGCAUUUUUCAAUGGUUUUUAAAACACAUUUUAAAUGGCGAAUUGCGCAUUCAUAGAUACGAGGUCAGACUUACUUUUCAUCUACCUUUUGCUCUUUACCUGUUAGGCCACAAUUUCUCUGAACAAUUGGUUCCUGUCUUGAGAGGCGGAAGGAUCACAGUUGUCCCACAUCUGGAGCUGUGUGAGUUGGAAGGAAAGUGGGGCAGAUGGAAGAUGGUGGUGAGGACUGGUCAGCAUGGGCAGGGGCUCCACGCCCUCCCCACUCGGCUCUAUGCUGCCCCCUGCCCCCUCUAUCUUUGGACUAACAUGACCACUGAAGGACAGAGAUCCCCAUGGGUUAGGGAUGUACAACUGGCAAAUGCACAUAAUGAAACGUGAACUGAGUCUCCUCAGUAGGGUAUCGAGGGCUGGGGGUUCUCAGAGUCAGCAGUUUCCGUCACUUUUGUAGCUGCUUGUUCCUCACAGGCCUGGUAACCCCCACGCUGGGUGGCAGUGCCUCACACAUAGUAACUGUCGUCUGUAUUUGGCAAGAACAAAGAAAUUAUUGCCAUUGAAAACAAAAACUGAUUUUAGCCUCAUUCUGUCCCCUCAGGGAGUGUUCAAAUUAAUUCAAUUAAUUCGAGCUCAGGAGUGUGAUUAUUUUACUUAGGAAAGCAUAUUGAUGGGUGGGCCAGGCUGAGAAAAAGACAUCAAGGGAUGUGCUUGAGAGCAGGGAUUGGACUUGUUCUGCAUCAGAGGAUGUGGCUGAGAGCACAGAUUUUUUUUUUUUUCUUUUUAGGGCUGCAUUGGAGGCAUAUGGAAGUUCACAGGCUAGGGGUCGAAUUGGAGCUACAGCUACUGGCCUAUGCCACAGCCACAGCAACUUGGGAUCCGAGCCCUGUGGUGUAUGUUACAGAUGUGGCUUGGAUCCCAAGUUGCUGUUGCUAUGGUGUAGGCAAGCAGCUGUGGCUCUGAUUCAACCCUCAGCCUGGGAACCUCCAUAUGCCCUGGGUACAGCCCUAAAAAGGCAAAAGAACAGAAACAAAAACAAAAAGCACUUACUGAAAAUUUCUAGUAAGCAUAUGAGUCCCAGUGCUUACCUUCAAUGUUUGUUGUGGAUUCUCUAGUCAUGUAAUAAAAACCCAAUGGAGGCUGGCUUAAACAGAUAAGGGAUUCACCAUUUAGCAUAACUGAAAAAGCAUUUUCAGGCAUAGCUGUAUCAAAAGAUAUCACCAGUAUGCUCAGGAUUCAUUUUCUCCAUCUCUGAUCUCUGUUUUCCUUUAUUUUUUAAAAAAUAUUUCAUGUGAUAUCUCCUGGCAUUGCCAGACUUAUUUCAUCCUUGUGAGUAGUCUUAGGAGAAGAAUUCUCUUUCUACCCUUUAUCUUAUGUGUACCAGCUUUAGAUAGUUUGUGAACCCAUUGCUGAGCUGGUUACUAUAUUCAGGGCAUAGACCCUGUCAUUGGUUAAGGUCUGACUCUUAUGUCCUCUCCAAAACUAUAUGUGCUGAGCAUGAGGGAGAGAUUGUUGCUGAAAAAGAGAUCAGGUUGGUAUUACUGGAGGGAGGGGGUAUGAGUGGUGAGCAGACAGCUACAACAGUUAUGUUCCCUGCUCAUGGAGACGCAAACUUAGUUGGGGACAUCAUUCAGGUUGCUUCUUGUAUGGCCUCUAUCUUCAGAUUUCUCAUUGGCAUCUCAGAGGUAGACUCCAUGGCUCCUGUUUUGGCAUAGUACUACCUGAUAAUUCUCCCCAACACACAGUAUGGUACCCGGGAAUGUUGGUGUGCUGAGUGUAAAGGAAAUUCCUAGAAGAAGGGUUAGUGGUAACACAUGACAGACACAUAGGAGUAAGAGAAUGCCAAGCACCAGUGCACUCCUAGUUGGCACUGAGGGACAUGGCAAUCACAUACACAGGUGACUCAGAGACUGAGGGAGGGUGAAGACCCUCUUUCCCCUCAGACUACGUCUGUAGCUUUUCAGGUAAGGAUAGAUUGUAUUUUCUCUCUUAGAACUACUCAUUCCAAUGAAACACUCAAUUUGGGAAGCUGAAAGAGCUUUUUAGAGAAAUCUGGCCCAACUCCCUUGUUGGACAUUUGACCAAUAUGAGACUGAAUGACCACGUGGCUUUCGUAACAUCACAACAUGAGUGAAAGGGGCAGCUCAUCCCAGAGCCAUCAGCUCUUGACUUGACACCCCCUGAAGGACAGCUGGAUAGUGUAGGUCUUCUGAGGUGCAUGUCAUAUGAAUAAGUGAGGACCUGGCGUCCAGCAAGCAGGGCUAAUGUCUGCUGACGACUCACAAUUCAUUUUUGGCCUCAAAUGUUCUCAUAAACAUUGCAGUGCUGGAAAAAUGGUUACAGACCCAGGACCUCAAUGUUUGUGCUCCUGUUCUGCCUUAGAUUAAGUUAAAUAUUGUUUGUAGAUGAUACAGAUAAAUCGGCUCAACCAUGAGCCUGUCUGGAUGGUUAAAAGGAUGCUGUUUAUUUCUCUAAGAGGUUGCCCAGCUGGGUAAGAGGGCUGUUGGACUCUUGCCUCAUUUCACACACAGCCUUCCUAUUUAUUUCAGGACUUGAUUUUGGAGAAUGCACUUAACUGGUUUGCCUGGUUGUCAUUUGUCAAGCUUCUAUUGGACUCAAGUGCUCCAAAGGCAGUGAACUUGUCAUCUCCUGCCUUCCUGACCCUUAUCCCCCAAUGCCAGGGAUGGUGCCAGCAUUCUGUGGCUGAUGCACCAAUGAAAAUUGAAUUCACUGUAGGAAAGAAUGAUUGAUUAAUUAGAAAAUUAUAAGAGGUUCUCAGGCUUUGAGUGUAUGAAAAUAUAAUAGAUGAGUGAUAGGGAACAGUUGGUCCCGGUGUCCAUUCAGGGAAAGAAACCAAUGAAAAGAAAUUUAUGUAAAGCUGUUGGAAUGUAGAACAGACUUUAGGAAGGACAAGCUGGCAAUGACUGGGAAAUUCAUUGAAAUGCUUUUUGCUGUAGAAAGGGCACUGGACGUUAGAAAGUGCCUUGCCAUUUUUUUUCAGCCGUGUGACAUUGGAAAUAAUCAUUGAUCAUCUCACCUUCUUCUCUGUAGAGUAGCCUGACGUGACAGCUGAAUUCAUGAAGUUGUCGGGAGGAUUAAAACUGUAAUGUAUGAAGAUCUUAGCACAAGAUUUACAUGUAGUAGUUGCUUUAUAUGCUGGCUCUCAAUUUUCUCUUUUCUUUUUUUUAACCUUAUUCAUCUAUUUAUUCAAACAAGUAAAAUGAGCUUCCAAAAUUAGAAAAUGAGAUGAUGAAGACCUGAACUAAGGCACUAGAAAUGGAAAAAAGAGGAUGAGAAGGGCUUAAAAAUAUGAAGAAAAGUUGGAUUGACAGGAUCUGAUGUGUGAAUGCAUGUAGGAGUUAGAGAAGAAAAUGCAGUGCUCUUCCCAGAGGUGGGGGCAUCGUGAAGGGAGGGGUAUGGUAUUUCACUAUCCAGGCAGAUCAGCAGACUAAUAGUCAUAUCGUCAGCGGAAGGAUCUGCCUUCCCACGUGUGACCUCAAAUCAACUUAGAGUUGAUUAUUGUUUUGUGUAUUGAGAAGCCUACACCAGAAGUGAAAGGUUUUAUUCUCAUCCCUCACCCUAAUCCCAUGGCCCUACAACCAAGAUUUCUACACCAGGCUUUACUUCAGCAUCAUCUGAAAUGCUUUUCCAAUAUCAUCGUUAUCGGCUCAGCCUUCAGAGAUUCUGAUUCAUUGAUGUGGGGGUGGGGGCUUGGCAUCUGCUUUUAUAGACAAGCCCCAGGAGUGAUAAUGAUACACAGAUAAGUCUAAAGAUGAAAACACAUGAAGAUCGUGUUCACUGUCCAUAUUCCAUCAGCCAAGACAUGUUUUCAAAGACUGUCACCUAAGGAACGCACUGGGCACUCUAUUUCCUUUUACUUUGCACCUGUCCAUGUUACCUUUUGAUAACCUGGUGGCUGGAUCAAAUCUCUUUCUAUUAGUCCCCAGUUUUGAGGUCCAGAUUCCCUUGGUUCUUCUGGGUUGGAGCAUCCCUGGCUGGGAGAAUGGGUGGAGUUUCCUAGCAUCAGCUUCUUUGGGGCUGACACAGACCCGGGGUAUCUCUUUGGGGUAUAUCUGAACUUGAGAGAAUAUGAAUACUCAUCAUUUUACUUCUCAAUUAUAGCACUUAAAAAAAAACACUUUCUGUUCUUUUAGAAAGUCAAUAUGAUUGUGCCUGUUUCACCGAGGAGGAAACCAAGCUCCAAAAUAUUUAGUAACUUUCCUAAGGUAAUCCAACAAAGAAAAGUUAGAACUUGUUUAUAGCUGAGUUCAUUUUGUUUUCAAUUCCCUUUCUUUCUUUUCUCUUCUCCCAUACCAUCUGCCUGCUUCUUGCAAUAUGUUAUAAUUUUUUUGAGGAAAGGACUAAUCUAUGUUUUCCUUUUAUAUCUAGCACAGUACUCUUGCACAUAGUAGGUGUUUUAUUAAUGUUUAAUGAAUAAACAAAUAGUUCAUUAUUCUUAACAGACUUGUUGGCUAUUUUUCAAAUUAGCAUGAAAAUUACGAGAGUGUAAUAAUGGUCUUGUAGCCUUCUUGGCUUCACCAGUGAAAAACUGUGCAGCUAUAGACGUUAGCUCUAGUCUAAAGGUUGCAUAUUGGCACCACAGUAAAAUAUUGUUCUGUUCUUAGUCUGCUCUGGCUUCACUAAGCCAUGAUUUCUUCAUCAGUCUCUCAGAGUUUGCUGGGCACCUACCAGGGAACUAAUGGACCAGGAUAGGGUGCUGCAGCUUUCACUCUGCCCGGGGUGCAGCAUGGAGCUCGUAACUUUUAUUUCACUAAAGCCUAUGCCAGCCUGGAUGACAUCUUUCUGGGUGCAAACCUUGGGUUCCAACUUUAAUAAUCAUACCAAUCCCUUCUCAUUGUAUAAGAGAUGCUUGAGGAAAAUAUUUUAAUAUCAAGCACACACAAGUUUACUUGUAUAAUUUCAGUUCUAUCAGUCUCUGCAAAGCACCUCCCUCAAUAAAAUGUGAUCCAACUUUGAUUUUCAAAAUACUCAUUUAAGUAUUGAUGCCCUAUUAGGAUGGACUUGACCACAAAGAUUCUCUUAGGCUCCAGCACUUGUGGUAGCACAUGCAAAUGAUUUUGCCAUAUUCACCCAGAAUUAGUCAGUCCUAUAUCUCAGACUCAACAAACUGUCUUUUUUUUUUUUUUUUCUUUUUAGGGCUGCACCUAUGGCAUAUGGAAGUUCCCAGGCUAAGGGUUGAAUUGUAGCUAUAGCUACUGGCCACAGCCCCAGCGACAGCCACAGCCACAGCAAUAUGGGAUCUGAGCCUAUAGCACAGCUCGUGGCAACACCAGAUCCUUAACCCACAGAGCAAGACCAGGGAUCAAACCCACAUCCUCAUGUAUACAAGUCAGGUUCAUUACUGUUGAGCUACAAAGGGAGCUCCAACAAACUGUUAAGUGAGCACAAACUUUUGCAAAAUGAUAGACUAUUAUUAUCAAUAUUUUGAUGAAAUAUUUAAUAUUACACAUGUAUUUUGAGAGCAAAUACUGCACGUGCAUACUGGAAUCACAUUCUCUAGAUUUGAAUCCUCACUGUGUCACUUAUUAGUUUUAGGUUUCUCCACCCCCGCAUUAUUGACAUUUUGGCCCAAAUAAUUAUUUGUGUGUGUGUGUGUGUGUGUGUGUGUGUGUGUGUGUGUAAAGAGAGAGGGUCUAUCCUGUAUACUGUAGAAGUUUAGUGGCACCUCUGGCAUUUGCCUACUAGAUGUGAAGAACAUCUCAGUUUUAUGAUUAAAAAAUGCCUCCAGACAUCAUCAAAUACCUCUUUGCUUCAUAUGGGCUGGAAAAGGGGGUGAUUAUACUGGAUAGAGAAGCCUUGCAGUAGCUUGUGACCUUGGGAAAUGUUUAAACCUCUGUGGGAUUCAAUUCCUUUUAACUGUAAAAGUGUAUAUAAUAAAAACCAACUUAUACUGUUAUGAAGAGAUAUAGCACAUAAAUUCAUCAACAGACACUUGGUACAGAGUAAGAGCACAAUAAAUCAUAGUUACAAAUAUAAGUUUCUUUAUUACUGUUUAUCAAAGACAUGCAACAUUGUUAGGUUAUGCAGAUAAUGCUAAAAUUGAGAAAACUGAAAUUAAAAGUUUGUUAUUUUUUCUAAAUUUGCUUAGUUAGAAUCACAGUCAGAUUUGUAACAAUCAGAUAUAGAUAUUAUGGAUAUAAAACAACAACAUCUGGCAUUGCUGUGAGCUGUGGUGUAAGUCACAGAUGCAGCUCAGAUCUGGCGUUGCUGUGGCUGUGGUGUAGGCCAAUGGCUACAACUCCAAUGUGACCGCUAGCCUGGGAACCUCCACAUGCUGUGGGUGUAGCCCUAAGAAAAAGACCAAAAAAAAAAAAAAAAAAAAAAA